rnacentral:rRNA from 1 species
GCUUACACAUGCAGUCGAGGGAGAACGGAGGGCUUCGGCUCUCCUAGUAAACCGGCGCACGGGUGAGUAACACGUAGGUAACCUGCCCCCGAGACCGGGAUAACCUGUCGAAAGAUUGGCUAAUACCGGAUAAGACCACGGUGGUUUCGGCCACUGCGGUCAAAGAUGGCCUCUACACGUGAGCUAUCACUUGGGGAUGGGCCUGCGCGCCAUUAGCUAGUUGGUGAGGUAACGGCUCACCAAGGCGACGAUGGCUAGUUGGUCUGAGAGGAUGACCAGCCACACUGGGACUGAGACACGGCCCAGACUCCUACGGGAGGCAGCAGUGGGGAAUAUUGCGCAGUGGGGGAAACCCUGACGCAGCGACGCCGCGUGGGUGAUGAAGGCCUUCGGGUCGUAAAGCCCUGUCGGAGGGGAAGAAGGACUCUCGGUCGAAUAGGCCGAGGGUUUGACGGUACCCUUAGAGGAAGCACCGGCUAACUCCGUGCCAGCAGCCGCGGUAAUACGGAGGGUGCAAGCGUUGCUCGGAAUUACUGGGCGUAAAGGGCGUGUAGGCGGUUUCGUAUGUCUGGCGUGAAAGCCCCGGGCUCACCUCGGGAAGUGCGUCGGAAACUGCGAGACUAGAGUCCCGGAGAGGGAGGUGGAAUUCCAGGUGUAGCGGUGAAAUGCGUAGAUAUCUGGAAGAACACCGGUGGCGAAGGCGGCCUCCUGGACGGUGACUGACGCUGAGACGCGAAAGCGUGGGAGCAAACAGGAUUAGAUACCCUGGUAGUCCACGCCAUAAACGAUGAGCACUAGGUGUCGCGGGUAUUGACCCCUGCGGUGCCGCCGCUAACGCAUUAAGUGCCCCGCCUGGGGACUACGGCCGCAAGGUUA